CUACGGGUCGCUCCAGUGAGGAAUAUUGCACAAUGGGGGGAACCCUGAUGCAGCAACGCCGCGUGGAGGAUGACGCAUUUCGGUGUGUAAACUCCUUUUAUAUGUCAAGAAAAUGACGGUAGCAUAUGAAUAGGCACCGGCUAACUCCGUGCCAGCAGCCGCGGUAAUACGGAGGGUGCAAGCGUUACUCGGAAUCACUGGGCGUAAAGGACGCGUAGGCGGGUUGGAAAGUCAGGUGUGAAAUCCUACAGCUUAACUGUAGAACUGCACUUGAAACUUCUAAUCUAGAGUAUGGGAGGGGGAGAUGGAAUUAGUGGUGUAGGGGUAAGAUCCGUAGAUAUCACUAGGAAUACCUAAAGCGAAGGCGAUCUCCUGGAACAUUACUGACGCUAAGGCGUGAAAGCGUGGGGAGCAAACAGGAUUAGAUACCCGCGUAGUC
rnacentral:rRNA from 1 species